GACGAACGCUGGCGGCGUGCUUAACACAUGCAAGUCGAACGGAAAGGCCCUGCUUUUGUGGGGUGCUCGCGUGGCGAACGGGUGAGUAACACGUGAGUAACCUGCCCUUGACUUUGGGAUAACUUCAGGAAACUGGGGCUAAUACCGGAUAGGAGCUCCUGCUGCAUGGUGGUGGUUGGAAAGUUUCGGCGGGUGGGGAUGGACUCGCGGCUUAUCAGCUUGUUGGUGGGGUAGUGGCUUACCAAGGCUUUGACGGGUAGCCGGCCUGAGAGGGUGGCCGGCCACAAGGGGACUGAGAUACGGCCCAGACGGCUACGGGAGGCAGCAGUGGAGAAUAUGGCACAAUGGGCGGAAGCCUGAUGCAGCAACGCCGCGUGCGGGAUGCCGGUCUUGGGGUUGUGAAGCGCUGUCGCCUGUGACGAAGCGUGAGUGACGGUAAUGGGUAAAGAAGCACCGGCUAACUACGUG
rnacentral:rRNA from 1 species